UUGGCUUCCAAACAAAGAGGACAGCUGAGGCCAGAUGACAUUUUCCAGUCCCUGGAAGCGUGAAGAGCGGUGCAACGCGAGGAACGCUGCAAGAAGCCUGGACAGCCAGCAGAAGGCGCUCCCAGGUCAGUGCAGGGCUGCGGAGCAGACAGGCGCUGAGGAUGCAUGAUGUAUGAACUGGUGCACACGGAAAGGAAAGGAGAGGAGAAGAGAGGAGAGGGCAGGAGGCAGGCAGCAUGAGAGCCAGAGCUGCCCAACAAAGUCAGGAGGUUGUUUGCUGACUCCGAGGGACCAGGGAGUUAUAAUGGAGAGCACCAGAGCAGCUGAGAACUAUGUCUGACGUGCAUUUGUGUCCAUCCAAAGAAACCGGCGAUUGGUCAACUUUUAACAAGACAAAGUGCAAGGCAAAGAAUCCCUUAAAAGAAAGUGCAUAUUACCCAGAUGGGCCAGGACCACGUUGGUGUGAUUUUCCUUCUCUUCCGCAUUCUCUAACAAACUGUGACAUCUUCUGCAGCAUGUCAAGGAAUCGAGCUCAAGACCCUGCAUUUGCAAGGGAGGUGCUGUACCCCUGUGCUAUAUCCUGGCCCUCUAUUUGACUUCUUGGUGGUACAAUUUGGGAAGAACAAGAACCUUCUGAAGCAUUGAAAAUGGGUAAAGAUUGAGGUUAUUUAAGAUAACAAAAGGCACAGAAUACAGAAAGAAGACCAUCUGAAGGUCACAAGCAAAAAUGUAAAUGCAGGCACAACCUCAGAGCUGCAGGGAUUUUGGAAGCAGAGUUGGCAUCGCUGUAGUCAGUAGGAUGGAGGAUCCAAGCCAUGAACUGACCCACGGGCCUACUGGGGACAAGUGUCUAGGUGAAAAAAUGCUGUCUUCAUAUUGAUCCAUUGCUCUGGUUGCACCAGUGAGGUACAGUGUUGUCCUAGCUCUGUGAAACCCACAGAUGCAAUUGCAUACAGCACCCAGAACAAUCAGUAAUUAAUCCUUCUGUAGCAAUGCCAGGCAUGUGCUUGUGGGAAUGGACAAACAGGCCACUCCACCUGGUGCCAAAAAAGCCACUGCAGAGUAACUAGAGGCCACAUUCACCAGCCACAGCCUGCCUUCUCACCUGUGGUGAUUGAUGAGACCAUCUGCCUUCUCUUCAAAGACUAUGCCCUCUCUACUUGUUAUUGGACAAUUGGGUAACACCGCAAUGAAUCUGAGUACUCAUAUCAGAGUUUUGAAACUUUAUCCUUCAUGUGUAAUUAAAACUCAUAAUAAAAAGCUACAUGAGAGAACCUAAAAGUCAGCAGAUGUGCUCUGCAUCUUCUCUGCACAGAACAGGAUUAGAGAAAAGCAUUUCCAUUGCAUUAUGUGGUGUUAUGGGGAAACAUUAUUCUUAGUACUUGGAAAGAGCUGAGUUGAUGAAUCUAUGUGAGGGGCAUUUGUAUGACUGAUGUGUUUAUAUGAUGUCUAAUGAAUUAAUGAAGAUUGUCUACAGAGGUGAUGAUGAACAACCGUGGCUGUGACAUAAGGGGAGGUGCGGUGCUUCUGAAAUUGCCGAGUGCUGCCCCACAUAAGAAACGGGAGGCAGGAAAACACAGGCGCACAUCAUUCAUUUGGAAUCAAAAGACCUGCACUCAUGUCCACAUUCUUCCAUGGCAAAUUCUUCCGAUACCUUGAAUGCUGUUUUUAAAAAACUGAUUAAAUGGGAAUGAUAGCCCUAGACUGGCUAAUCCCAUGCUUGGUUCUGAUGCUCUGGACACAAAGUUGAGGAAAUCACACCUGAGCCUCACUGGGGUUUACAUAGGGACAGAAAGACGAAAUCAUCAAGGAAGCAAACAACUAAAUGAAUGACCGGAGAGUUACAGAGCUGAUUCCAGCAAUCCUCUAUAAAAAAUACGCUUCUUGCAUCACUUAUUUAUUGAAGAAAAUAAAUGGUUCAAGUGCUACUGCAAUAAUAAAUCUUAUCCCUGAAGUGUCUUCAAGAGAUAACGUCAACACAUGUGGGAGGUCUCUUCUGGUUCCUGAUGAAUUUUAGGAGUGAUUUUUCUUGAUCUAUGAAGUGUGGAAAAGAAGUCAAAAGAAAUGAGACAGAGAAGAUUGGAUGAUAGGAACAGCUCUUUUGGAGAAAAUGUCGUCAUAAUAGGUAAUACUGAUUUACUAUCAUCUUGUUUUGAAGUUUCAUCAAGUUUUUGUUCUUCUGUCUCUAUUGGUCUAAACAGGUUGUAUCUUAUUGGAUUUUAUUAUAUGUGAUAAUAUAAACAAAAACUUUUAUAGACAAGGAGAUUAUACAGAAACCAUUGUUCAUUUUCUGUUAGUUGAUUCUAAAUACCUUGUAUUUAGUUGACUAUUAUCUACUUUUGAAGACCUGUAAUGUCUCCAAUGUUUUGGUUUUGUUGGUUUCAUUCUUUACUGUUCAAUUUUAUUAUAACUGAUGAUAUAGGCAAUUCUAUUAGAGAUAGCAGGAGGCAUUAUGGUAACCAUUGUUGAUCACCUUGUAUUACGCUUUUACAUUAUCUAUUAUCCACCCUUUUGAUUUGACUGACUCUGUUCUUUUAUGUCACAUUUGGUUUUACUCUCCAAAAAAGUAAUAAGAACUGUGGGAGCAACAAAACCCAAAAUGUGUAAUUGUCAUUUUACAAAAGAGAGAAAAAAAAAGUGCUCUAAAUGGUAUAACUGCAUGUAUAUUUAAGUGUAUAAGAUAGAUAAUGAUAUUACUGAGUUUUGUUGUAUCAUUGAACAGAACUGUUUGCAGUCUCACUGUUGGAAUGUCCACUUUAUAAGCUUUAAUUUUGUAACUUGAACAACUAUUUCUAAGAUGACAAUAUGUAAUCCAUUAAGUAGUGAUUUCCUACUGUUUAUUCUCUUCUAUAAAUCUGUAUAACUUGUACUCUUUUUCUGCUUUUUUUUUCUUUUUCUCCUUAAAUAAAAAAAAUUGUUAAAGAGUUAUAUUGCUGGGAUUUACAUUGGGAUUGCACUGAAUCUGUAUGAGAGUUUUUGGGAUAAUGGCCAUUUACACAAUACUUAUUCUUCCUAUCCAUGAACAAGGGAUGUCUUUCCAUUUUCUGAGAUCCUCUUAUAUUUCUUUUUUCAGGGUACUAUAAUUUUCCCUAUAUAGAUAUUUCACUUCUUUCAUGAAAUUAAUUCCUAAGUAUUUCAUUUUUUGGUUGCUAGUGUGAAGGGUGUUGCUUCUCUUAUUUCUCUGUCAGUGAUUUUGUUGUUAGUGUAUAGGAGUGCUAUUGAUUUUUGAGUAUUGAUUUUGUAUUCAAAUACAUUGCUGAAUUUCUUUAUCAUAUCUAGAGGAUUUUCAAUGGAGUUUUGGGGGUCUUCUAUUUAGAGUAUCAUGUCAUCCACAAAUAAUGAUAAUUUAACUUCCUCUUUUUCUAUCUUUACCCCUUUUAUUUCUCUCUCUUGUCUCAUUGCUCUGGCUAGUAUUUCCAGUACUAUGUUGAAUAGGAGCAAUGAUAAGGGAUAUCCUUGUCUUGUGCCUGAUUUUAAGGUAAAGGCCUUCAGUUUUUGGCCAUUUAACAUGAUGCUGGCUGUCGGUUUCAUUGAUAGCCUUUAUCAUAUUGAGGUAAAGACCAUCUAUUCCAAUUUUCUGUAAGGUUCUUAUCAUGAAUGAAUGUUGCCCCUUAUCAAAAGCUCAUUCUGCAUCUAUAGAAAUGAUCCUGUGAUUCUUGCUUUUGGCUUUAUUGAUAUGGUGAGUUGCUUUUUUAUUGAUUUGUGUUUUUUGAAUCAUCCCUGCAUGCCUGGGAUGAAUCCUACUUGGUCAUGGUAUAUAAUCUUAUUGCCAAUAUUUUAUUGAGGAUUAUUACAACUAUGUUCAUUGGGGAGAUUAGCCUGUAGUUUUCUUUUUUAGUUGGGUCUUUCUCAGGUUUUGGUACUAGAGUAAUAUUUGCUUCUUGGAAUGACUUAGGAAAGAUUGCUUCCCUUUGUAGUUCAUUGAAGUGUUUGAGGAAUGUCGGCAUUAAGUCUUCUUUGUAUUUCUUGUACAAUUCCAAAGUGAAUCUGUCUGGGCUUGGGCUCUUCUUUGUAGGUAAGGACUUACUUACAUUUUCAAGUUCAUUAAUGGAAAUUGGGUUAUUAAGCAGAUUUACAUCUUUUUGACCUAGCUUUGGUAUUUCAUAUGUUUCUAGGAAUCUCCAUUUCUUCUGUCUUAUCGAACCUAUGAGAGUAGAGGUUUUUCAAAUAGGUGUUGAUGAUCUUCUGUAUUUCAACAGAGUCUGUAGUGAUUUCACAUUUUUCAGUCCUUAUUGCAUGAAAUUGAGCUUCUUAUUCCCUUUUUUAAAAAUUUUAUUUAUUUAUUUAUUUUGUCUUUUUUGUUUUUAUCGGUACCAGGGAUUGAACUCAUGACUGCCUGCUUGCAAGGCAGGCGCUUAUGCCGCUGAGCUAAAUCCCCAGCCCCUCUUUUUAUUCCCUUUUUAAAAUAAGGUUGACUAGGUCCUUAUCAACUUUAUUAUUCUUUCCAAGAACCAACUUUUUGAUUCAUUGAUUCUUUGGAACUUUUACUUAGUCUCUAUUGCAUUAAUUUCUGCACUGAUUUUUAGAAUUUCCUCCCUUCUUUUGGGUUGGGCUUGACUUACUCUUCUUCUAGAUGUUUGAGGUAUAGCAUAUGAUUGUUUAUUUGUAUUUGUUGUGUUUUCCUGAUGUGGGAAUUCAGUGCAAUACAUUUUCUUCUGAGGACAGCUUUCAUAGCAUCUCAUAGAUUCUAGUAAUUUGUAUUUGUAUUUUCAUUUGCUUGUAGGUAUUGUUUAAUUUCUUCUUUAAUUUCCCCUGUGACCCACUGAUUAUUCAAGAGUGUAUUACUCAAUUUUGAUGUGUUUGUGGGGCUUUCACAGUUUCUUUUAUCAUUAAUUUCUAGUUUCAUGGUGCAAUGAUGUUAUAACAUGCAUGGGAUAAUUUCAACUCUUUUGCAUUUAUUUAAGUAUGUUCUGUGGGCUAGUAUAUGGUCUAUUUUAGAGAAUGUCCCAUGUACUGCUGAGAAGAAUGUGUAUUCUGAUGUUGUUGGAUGGAAAACUUUGUAUAUGUCUAUCAAGUCCAUUUGUUCACAGGUGUGAUUCAAUUCUAUUAUUUAUUUGCUGAUUUUCUGUCUGACUGAUCUGUCCUUUGGUGUCAAUGGUGUGUUAAGGUCUCUGUUAUAAUUGUUUUAUUGCUAACUUGUUUUUUCAAUUCUAUUAAUACUUGCUUUGUAUAACUGGGUGCUCUGUAAUUUUUGUACAUAUACUUAUGAUUUUUAUCUCUUCCUCUUGAAGUUUUCCCAUGACUAGUAUGUAGUGACUUUCUUUAUCUCUUAGGAUCAUUCUUGGUUUGAAGUUGACAUUGUCUGCUAACAGAAUAGCUACCCCUACUUUUGGUGGGAGGUUCCUUUUGACUGAAGUAUUGUUUUCCAUCCUUUGACUUUCAGUCUGUGAGUUUCUUUUUGGGUUAGAUGGGUUUCUUGUAGAUAGCAUAUGCUUGGGUAUUGUUUCUUAAUUCAUUCUGCCUGUCUGUUUCUUUUAAUUGGUACACUGAGACUAUUUACAUUAAUGAUUAUAACAGAUUUCCAACAGGCCCUGGGGAAGCCUUGGAAUAACACAUGAGACACCUGAAACACAAAAAUAUAGGAAAAUGACAAAACAAAAAAUCAAAUUACAAUCUCAAACCUCCAGCCCAUCCCAAGAAACCUUAGGUUCUAUGUACAUAGAAGAAAAUAUAUGCCAUACACCAUAAUAGCAACUGAAAUAAAGAAGCAACUCUGGAAAGAUUUAAAGGAAUUCAAACUAGAAAUAAUCUUCCAGGUAAAAAAGAAAUGAUAAAGGAAAUUAAGGAAAAGCUGAACAUAUCUAAAGAAGACACAGUUAAAAAAAUGGAGGAAUUAAACAAAAAAAUAGAAUUGCUGGAUGAGCAAUAUAAGAAACAAACAUAAUACAUAAAGCAGAUGUAAAGAGAUAUACAGGAUAUCAAAAAUUCCAUCGAUGUUUUGCUAUAUUUGACUUUAUUCUCUUCCAAAAAAAAAGUAAUAAGAACUAAGGAGUAAUAAAACCCAAAAUGUGUAAAUUUUGUUGUAAAAAAGAGAGGGAAAAAAGUGCUCUAAAGGAUACAACUGCAAGUGUGUUCAGGAGUGUUAAAUAGCUGACAAUAUUAAUGUUUUUGGUUGGAACAUUGAACACAAUGGUUUGCAGUCUCUCUGUUUGAAUGUUCACUUUAUAUGCUUUGAUACUGUGACUUGAGCAACUAUCUCUAAGACAAUAAUGUGUAAUCUAUUAACUGGUGUUUUCUUACUUUUCGUUUUUUUUUUUUUUUUUUUUUUUUUGUAGUUCUGUAUUACUUGUACCCUUACAUCGCUUUGUUUUGUUUUGUUUUUUCUCUUUUUCCUUUUAAAUAAAAUUUUUAAAAAUUCCAUCAAAAGCUGUAAAAAGUGCCUCAGUGAAAGUGAAGAUAGAUUUUCAGAUCUCAAAAACAAGAUUUCAGUUAGUGAACAGGAAAGGAAAGAUUUUUUAAAAAUAACAAGGAAUCAGAAAAUAACAAUUCAACAACUGCAAGAUGAUGCAAAGAAAAACAACAUAAGAUUUAUAGGGAUAAAUAAAAAAGAAAGGGGCAACAUAAAGGAUGUCAAGAGGAUAUUUAGAGAAAUAAUAGCUGAAAAUUUCCCAAAUAUAAAAUUGGAAACCGACAUCAGUAUCAGUGAAGCAUAUAGAACUCAAUAGUCAUAACCAAAAUAAAAGUGCAUCCAGACUAUAAUAAUCACCAUCCCAGAAAUCCAACAUAAGAAUAGAAUAUUAAAAGCUGUCAGAGAGAAAAGACAGAACACUUGUAAAGGAAAACCUAUCAGAAUCACAGCAGACUUCUCAGCACAAACAAUAAAGUCAAGAAGAGCAUAGAGUGAAAUGUGCCAGAUCCUCAAGGAAAAUGAUUUCCAACAUAGACUGAUGUACCCUAAAAACUGUCCUUCAAAAUGGAUGGAGAAAUAAGGUACUUCCAUGACAAAAGAACAGCUGAAGAACUUCAUGACCACCAAGCCAACCCUUCAAAGAACACUGAAAAAUAGUUUAGAUACAGUUAGGAGAAAACCACUAAGCAAAGCAGACAAUUAAACAGAACAGAAAGAUCAAGAUGCAACAGCAGAAAGACAACAAGUCAACAAUAAACCAAA